rnacentral:rRNA from 1 species
UACGUAGGGUGCAAGCGUUGUCCGGAAUUAUUGGGCGUAAAGAGCUCGUAGGCGGUUCGUCGCGUCGGCUGUGAAAACCCGAGGCUCAACCUCGGGCCUGCAGUCGAUACGGGCGGACUGGAGUUCGGCAGGGAGACUGGAAUUCCUGGUGUAGCGGUGAAAUGCGCAGAUAUCAGGAGGAACACCGGUGGCGAAGGCGACUACCUGGCCUGUUCUUGACGCUGAGGCGCGAAAGCUAGGGGAGCAAACGGG